GUGCGAGACCGAUAGCGAACAAGUACCGUGAGGAAAAGAUGAAAAGAACUUUGAAAAGAGAGUUAAAGAGUACCUGAAACUGCUGAAGGGGAACCGAAUCGUAUCCAGUGUCUAUAAUCCAUGGCAUAUUUCAUUGGCGAGUGAGUGCGUGCAGCGUUUUGGAAGUGGUUUUCCGCUCCUGUCGUUGUUGUGCAUUUGCUUGCUGGUGCCCUGUGCUGUGGUGGGACGUCAGAGUCAGUUUGUGUGUCGCGGGAAAUGGUUAUUGGGGAGGUAGGUCGCUUCGGUGGCUAUUAUAUCCUGGUAACUAGUCGUCGUGGCUGAGACUGAGGUGCCUACAAUGUGCUUUCGAGUGUGCGGGUUUCUCGUGUGGCUGUUUGCUUUGAUAGCUUGCUAUGCUGGUGAAUAAGUUGUGCGAUUGAGACCUGUAUUAACUUGUUGCUGUUCGGGACUUUGA
rnacentral:rRNA from 2 species